rnacentral:lncRNA from 1 species
AGGGUGAAUGUUGAUGCUGUAAACUAUGUAGAGCUGGAUAGAGGAACUUGUUAGGGUGAAAUGUUGAUGCUGAAAAUUAUGUAGAGCUGGAUAGAGGAACUUGUGUAGAGGUCAAAAUGAUGCUGAAUUUGAUGGAGAGAGUGCAGUGAGAGGAAUGAGAAAGUUAGACAGUUGGAGGAUGGGUGCUGGUGAUUUUAAGAUCGUCUCAAAUAUCUAGAGCUGGAAACUAUGAAUAAAAAAACAGGUCCAAAGUUUUAAAAGAACAACUUGUGGAGGUUAAAAAUGAGUGCUAAAUGUAACGGAGAGAGCAGUGAAGGGAAUACAGAAAAGUAGACUGUAGGACAGAGAUGUGUUAGUGCUUAAGGUGGUAACUUAUGAAUAAAGCAACAGAUGUAAAAUUACUGAAACAAAAGAUUGUGGUUGGUCAUAAGUAGAAAACCAGCUUCAUGAGAGUGAAGAGGAAGGAAAUAAAAUAUAAAAGAAAACAAGCUGCAUGAGGGUGAAGAAGGAAAUGGAACAGUUACAGAUGACAUAUUUGAGUAUAAACAUGCAAGUAAUGCUGAGACAGGGUACGAGACCUGUGUCUGAUUAUAAACAGGAUAGGAGACUGUGAGGGAACGGGAGGCCACGAUCUCUUGCCCUCAAAAUAUAAAUGAUGUUAAUUUAAGCCAGGCAGGAGGAUAACAAGCCAGGAAGUGAAGUCCAGAAGCUGGGGUGCAGUAGGGAGACGACAGCAGUGGCAGGUGCAGAUAUGGAGAGAAGCAGCAGGAGCCCAGGCUUGCUGCUCUUCCUGUGAGACGAGGAACCAGCUCGAAGAGAGAUGAGGCACAGUGUUCAUCUGCAUCAGCUCUAAGUAUUCCCACCACAACUGGCAUCUACUCAAGGAACAAGGGUCUGCUUACAUUUGCCACUCCCUACCUUCAAUCAAACCGGGUCUGUUCACAUUUGCCACUCCUACACAGCUUCAAUCGUCCUCUCAUUUGUCUCUCUCCACACAGUCCAAGCAUGACCACCAUCUAUUUCCUUCACUGAUAAUCCACAGUUCCUUCAGCACUACUUGCAUCAUCUCAUUCCUGUCUCUGGCACACUUCACACACAUCCGCAUCAAAACUUCCACAACCUCCUAUCCUUGUUCCGAGAUUAAGACUGCUUUCUCUUUAAACCACUCCUUGUUCCAUCUAAUUCUUCCUUUCAUUCAGAUCCACUACUGUAUCUUGCUCUUCCACUUCCUCAUCCCAUUCUAAAUCCUCUCAAAUUCUAAGAUUCACACUCCAGUCACUCUAAAUAUGGCUUCUUUCAAACUACUGAAAAGCUCAACUGAUUUCCAAGCCACUAAGAGCACUAACAUCUUAGCACAUACUUCAUUCACUCUUGAUAUGGCUUCUCUUAAAACUGCUGAAAAGUCCAAUUACUUUCCAAACCAUUUUUUAAUAACUAACAAUCUUGACACACUUCUCCUUCCUAUUCUUGCAUCAUGAUCAUUGCCUCUAAUCUAGCCCCUGGUGGCUUGAGGGCCCUAGACAAUCGCCUUGUCCGCCUAUAGCUAGAAACGGCCCUGUACAUGCCUCUGAAAAUACUCUAUCCCUCUACAUAAAGUGCCAUUCUAGCUA